GGAGCGGCCGCGGAGCUGGAGUAGCAUGUGGGCGUUCGGAGGUCGCGCAGCCGUGGGCUUGCUGCCCCGGACGGCGUCCCGGGCCUCCGCCUGGGUCGGGAACCCGCGCUGGAGGGAACCGAUCGUAACCUGCGGCCGCCGAGGCCUACAUGUCACAGUCAACGCCGGCGCCACCCGCCACGCCCAUUUGAACCUCCACUACCUCCAGAUUCUGAACAUCAAAAAGCAGAGCGUCUGCGUGGUGCAUUUGAGGAACUUGGGGACAUUGGACAACCCAAGCUCUCUAGACGAGACAGCGUAUGAAAGACUGGCGGAAGAGACCCUGGACUCCCUGGCCGAGUUCUUUGAAGACCUCGCAGACAAGCCCUAUACCCUGGAGGACUACGAUGUCUCUUUUGGGGUACCUCUUGGCUCUGUUGCGUUCUGUCUUCUCCUUAAUAACGGAUGGCGUGCUCACCAUUAAGCUGGGCGGGGAUCUAGGGACCUACGUGAUCAACAAGCAGACCCCAAACAAGCAAAUCUGGCUGUCUUCUCCUUCCAGCGGCCCCAAGCGCUAUGACUGGACCGGGAAGAACUGGGUGUACUCUCAUGACGGCGUGUCUCUGCAUGAGCUGCUGGCCAGGGAGCUGACUAAAGCUUUAAACACCAAACUGGACUUGUCUUCAUUGGCCUAUUCUGGAAAAGGCACUUGACUGCCAGCCAGAUUCCAAGACAUUAAACACUGUCAGGUGAAGACCCCCAGCCUCCUCCUGUAGCUGAAUGUCUGCCUUCCCAUACCUGCUCCUGAAGAUAGUCACACCGUGUGUGACAGCUCUGUGAAAAAAGUGUGUUCCCUCCCACCCUGUCCCCGGACCUGGCUCUUCAUUUCUACAGACAUUUGUUAGGAUUAUGUCAUUUGCUCCCCAACCUGAGACCUCUGGUCUCUUAGAAAGUCUUAUAUGCUGGGCAGUGGUGGCGCACGCCUUUAAUCCCAGCACUCGGGAGGCAGAGGCAGGCGGAUUUCUGAGUUCGAGGCCAGCCUGGUCUACAGAGUGAGUUCCAGGACAGCCAGGACUACACAGAGAAACCCUGUCUCGAAAAAAAAAAAAAAAAAAGAAAGAAAGAAAGUCUUACACCACAAGUGUGUCCAUGAUAUAACAGCCUCAAAAUGUCUUACACUGUGUGUGCUAAUAACCUACACCAUGUGUGCUAAUAACCUCCUGAAAAGGAAAAAGGCUCAGAGGGAGACAUGAGUCGUUCCCACUCUUCCAUUGUCUCUGAAAAGAUACUCUAAAAGUAACUUCUAAAUGUACCCAAGACUCCAAGUAUGUACACUUCUGAGUCCUGAGCAGCAAAGAGUCAAAAGAAACCAUCUUAAAAUGCCCUUUCGUGCUUUGUCACCUACACUCGGUACCCAGGACCUGGUGCUAUUAACUCUGUGCCUUCAUAGUGGGGGUCAUUUACACAGUUGGCAGCUACGACAUGGACCUGAGAUGUCUGAAAAUUUUGAAAAUUGAGCUGGGCAUGGUGGGGCAUGCCUUUAAUCCCAGCAAUCAGGUGGCAGAGGCAUGCAGAUAUCUCGGUGAGUUUGAGGCCAGCCUGGUCUAUAAAUCCAGGAGAGUCAGGCCAAUUACACAGAGAAACCCUGUCUAAGGAAAAUACGAAGAAAAUUUGAGCUGGAGAGAUCACUUAGUCCACACAAGCAUGAAGACUCAAGUUUGAUCCUAGGCGUCCACGUUUAAAGCCCAGGCAUAUUCUUCACUCGGAAAGUGGAGAUGAGGGGCUUGCAGCCUCAGCAGUAAGCCUGGGGUCUCUGAGAAACACUAUUUCAAAGAAGGAAACUUGCCUGGCUUCAGUUGACCUGUCCUACACAUAUGUGCACAUGCACUAGUAUAGACAUAAACAUGCACACAAAUUCACACAUGUUAAAUAAAUGCAGAAAUAACUACAGGCAAGGAGGACAGACAAAAAUCCCUACCAUAAACCAAAGAACUAAACAGUGUCAUGGAGCCGAGGUCUCGGUUAUCCAUGAGAGAGAUGUCUGUACUGGUACAGAGAGCCCGGCCCUUCAUUUCCAAUCUACUCAGGGAGAGGGUAGAAUAUAGCUGAUACCUGACAUCCAGUGGAGUGGACCUAUCAGGCCAUCCACAAAGCUCUCCUUGUUCCCACUGGGUAGGUGGAAGAAAUGGUAUUGUUCUUGCUACUGCUCUGUUAGAAUUUCAGAUGAAUUCCUAGGGAGCUAGCAGCUGCCCCUUGCUCUCUCUGCUGAAUCCGGAGCACCAUUGCCCUGCCUUAAGUGUGACAGGCUGCGCUUUGUACUGGAAGCAACACAGCUCCAGAACACCCACACGGAGCAACUCUAAACUCGGGUUUGUUUCGGGUUCAGUUCGUUUCUAACUGAAGGAAAAUUGAGAGCAGGGACUCUAGCCCAGUGUGAAGGCUUGCCUAGCAUGCAGAAGGGCCCUAAAGUUCCAUCCCCACACUACAAAGGGCUGAGAGAUUUGUCAGUGACAACUCUUAUGCAAAUGCCCAGCAGAGGCUAUGCAGGGUGAACUGAACACAUUACAUCAUAGACAAAACAAUGGAACAGUGUAAACAGGCUAAGUGACUAUUUAAGAUAUUUCCUUCUUCACAAUUUUUUUUUUAGUCUGGUGGAAAUUUUUGAGUGGUGUAAGUCGGUGCUAGAGAGAUAAUAAAUAGGACCAUGUGUGGACAUGCCUAUGGGUGUCCCUUUGUCUUCUUAUGAAAGACACACACACACCCCACACCCCGCUUGACCCUUAUCAGACCUUCAGAAUGUGCACAGGGCGCGUUCUGAAUGUGUAUGGACGUUAGGGAGUCAGAUGUUAUGGGCUCCUCCUGGACCAGUUUUUGGACUUCUUAACUUUCACUUUAUGUAUUUCUCUGACUGGGUUUCAAGGCAGCCUCGAUCACACUUAAGAGAGAGUAUGAACACUGUGUUGUGUGAGUCAAGUCAUUCUGAACUCCAGGCAUGGGGAUGCUCUUCUGUAGUCCUGGCACUUUGAACUCCAAGGCUCAAAGGUAAAAGAAGGAUGGAAGUUUGGACUUGA